rnacentral:lncRNA from 1 species
AAUAUUGAUAUACAUUUGGUAUGUGUUUGGAUCUAGUUUGAUAUUAAUUAAUAAUAAUUUAAAAGACCCCAAUAUUACGGUACUACCAUUUGCCAUGUCUAAAUGAUAUAGCCAUAGGUGGCAAAAAAUAACCAAAAAAACAGAGAUAUAGUUUCAAAAACGGAUUUUGGAAAUUUAGCCAGAAAAAUUUACAGGAAUUGGCCGGAGGAAUGAACAGACGGAGAAGAAAGAAGAAGAAGAGGAAAACAUACGAUAACCAAGCUGCAGUUUUCAUUGAAUGCCGAAUACCCUAACCCUGCUGCAACUUGAAGAAGAAGAAAAGAAAAGACAAGAUGACGAAGAAGAAGAAGAAGAAGAAGAAGAAGAAGAAGAAGAAGAAGAAGAAGAAGAAGAAGACAACAACCACAUUAUCAUUCCAUCAACACAAGAUACCAACGACCAACAACAAAUCGUAGUCAGCCGGAGCCGGAGCGCAACCUACCGGCUGAGGAAAGCCGGUUUGCACCUCCGUUUCCUUCUCGGGCCGCUCGCCCGGAAAAGGUCCCAACCUGCUGCUAGUAAAUCCCUUCAUUCAACCUUUCUAUUAUGAAUGUUAACAGUUUUUCUCGUAUUGUUCAUUUACGUGAUGCAAUUCUGUUUUGUUUUCAAAAGCAAUGCCUACUGGGAUCUUAUGCGGAAUCAGCCCAUUUCCAUCUGGACGCAAGCAUUUUCAUUUCCAUCGAGCUGAGGUAACAAUAAAAUACCGGUCAGGAAAUGCUUGAAAAGCUACGUCGCGUCACAUUCGUUAUUUUCCUUCGCAAAUCCACCCUGCAAACAAAAGACAACACUGAUUGAUGAUUGCAGGCAGGGAGAGGGGAAUCAAGCAAGAGUGAGAAGAAGAAUCAAGUUGUGGGACCUAAACAGCAGAUAGGAUGGAUUCGCAGCCGCAGAUCGACAACAGCUAUGUUCGUCUUGAUGACGGACUUACGGAAGAAGAUUAACCUCUUCAGGGGAAUCUUUGACCUGCCAACUUGUGAUGUCUCUGCUUCCAUAAACCAAGUAAGUUUAAUUAUUCCAAGGUUACAGCUUUUCUUCAAUUAUAUGCUUGGUCAACUUUUAUGUCGCCAUUGUUUGCAGCUGGUGACGGAUACCAUGGGUGAUCUCCACAAUCUCUACCCUGAAAUCAUGCCCAUCAAAAAAUUGUCAGAUAUCAAGCAAGGAAUUUCUGUUCACGAGGUCCACAUUUGCAUCAUUGUGAAUAGUUUUUAAGUUUUAUUCUACGAAAUAUAAACUCGAGCCACACAAAUUGUAUACAUUCUACAUGAAUUGAUUGAUUCUAUGGGUGCAAACAUUUAACUUUACUAGAAAGUUUGACUACAAUGAUGAUAUAUACUUGAGCAGGUUUUGAUUUACCUGUGCGGAGCUUUGAGAUCAGUUGGAGACUCCUGGGGGACGACGAAUCAUGAAUGGAUGGACGAAGCUACGCUCUACAAACAGAACAACAUGGACGAGUUGAGCUCCGAACAGCUAGGUAUAAAGCCAAUCUCCUGUUCAUUUUUCUGAACUUUUUCGCUUGAAAAUUUGAUUGUUCUACUUCUUCGCUUGAAAUAGUUGAUCUUGCACUGGCAACACUCAAUUGCUUGAUCAAGAUUCAAACAGAGGAUUCCGAAGCGACAGAUGAAGAAUAUGAUCAUAGCAAAGACAUUGUACCAUAUGGGAAGUCGUUGCUAAAAUCGUGCUCCGAGAGCAAUAUUCCAUUCAGUGUAGCGUCCCCAGUGAAAACACCUACAUCAUUUCUUCCGGAAAUAAG